CCUACGGGAGGCAGCAGUGAGGAAUAUUGGUCAAUGGGCGCGAGCCUGAACCAGCCAAGUCGCGUGAGGGAAGACGGUCCUAUGGAUUGUAAACCUCUUUUGUCGGGGAGCAAAAGACGCCACGCGUGGCGUUCCGAGAGUACCCGAAGAAAAAGAAUCGGCUAACUCCGUGCCAGCAGCCGCGGUAAUACGGAGGAUGCGAGCGUUAGCCGGAUUUGUUGGGUUUAAGGGGUGCGCAGGCGGAAGAUCAAGUCAGCGGUAAAAUUGAGAGGCUCAACCUCUUCGAGCCGUUGAAACUGGUUUUCUUGAGUGAGUGAGAAGUAUGCGGAAUGCGUGGUGUAGCGGUGAAAUGCAUAGAUAUCACGCAGAACUCCGAUUGCGAAGGCAGCAUACCGGCGCUCAACUGACGCUCAUGCACGAAAGUGUGGGUAUCGAACAGGAUUAGAUACCCGGGUAGUC
rnacentral:rRNA from 1 species